UACGUAGGGUGCGAGCGUUGUCCGGAAUUAUUGGGCGUAAAGAGCUCGUAGGCGGUGUGUCGCGUCGGCCGUGAAAACCUGCAGCUUAACUGUGGGCUUGCGGUCGAUACGGGCAUCACUGGAGUUCGGCAGGGGAGACUGGAAUUCCUGGUGUAGCGGUGAAAUGCGCAGAUAUCAGGAGGAACACCGGUGGCGAAGGCGGGUCUCUGGGGCCGAUACUGACGC
rnacentral:rRNA from 1 species